AGUUACUAGGCAGUGUAGUUAGCUGAUUGCCAAAAGUCACAAUCACUAGCCACACAGCCAGGUAAAC
rfam:Charadrius vociferus contig25204, whole genome shotgun sequence.